CAGGCUGCCUCGAGGUGAGGCCUUCCAACAGGCUUGGAAAUUUCUGCUUGGAAACCUCAGAACACAAGGAUGUGUGAAUUCCUCCAUUUCCUUCGCUGCCUCCCCAUCAGUGCCUUGCCUGGGAACCCUCAUCUGUGUCAUCCCUUGGCCUGGACUGUGGGUGCUCCCUGGACUCUGUACCUGAGGUGGUGUCGAUCUCCCCGUCCUGCUCCUUGUAGCUGAAGGUGCUGCACAUGGUCUGGGUGCCCGACUCGUUGGUGAGAAAGCCCUUCCCACCAAUGCUGGUGUUGUGCCAGUCUUGGGCUGGUACAAGCAGCUGGAAGAGAAGAAGUAGAUGGUUAAAAACUCCUUCCUGCCACAGGUGCAAUGUCUGAUUCCUCGCCCUCAAUCAGAUGACAGAAAGGAAGUUUGGUUGAAGCACAUGCAGGAGAAUGAAUGUCAGAAAUGUUGAAACUCUGCCCAGGCAUGAUGUAAUGCCAGUGAGUGCUCUGAUCUGCAGGCUACAAUAAAGAUAUCCUGGGAUGGGCCAUUUACAGUUUCCUGGAAUUGGAAAGACCUGUCUCAGGACCCAAAAUCAUUCCAGUUCUCCCUACUGAUGGAGCGGUGAAGUUUUAAACUAAACCCAAAUGAGAUUCUGGGCUUGUUUUGGUGGGAAUAAAG